rnacentral:misc_RNA from 1 species
ACACACACAUCCAACUAUCUGGUCCAAACCGACAAUUUCAUUUUCCUUUGAUACAAAGGAUAGCGCCUAUAAUUCAAGGUUUUCUCAGCAAGGUAGCUCUAUUUGGGUAAAGAUCAAUAUAAAAGGAAGGGUGGAAAUAAGGGGGAAAACAAACACUUAUAUGGUUGUUAAAUUGCUUUAAUAUACUUUCUCCAAAACAAUUUUUAGUGGUUCAUAUCCUUUCAUACUAUUUUUAAGGAGGAUUUAUUAAGUCGUUCUUAACGCAUAUGCUCUCUCUCUCUCAUACAAUUAGAUAAGAUCCAUAUGUCCUAAAAAAUAGUAUAUUAAAAAUUAGUGUCCUGAGAAUGUCUAAUAAAUUUUUGGAUGUUACAAGUAUUAAUGCCAUUGUUUCGGACAAAAAAA